AUGCACGCUGGCGGCGUGCUUAACACCUGCAAGUCGAACGGAAAGGCUCCUGCUUGCAGGGGUACUCGAGUGGCGAACGGGUGAGUAACACGUGGGUGAUCUGCCCUGCACUUCGGGAUAAGCCUGGGAAACUGGGUCUAAUACCGGAUAGGACGAUGGUUUGGAUGCCAUUGUGGAAAGUUUUUUCGGUGUGGGAUGAGCUCGCGGCCUAUCAGCUUGUUGGUGGGGUAAUGGCCUACCAAGGCGUCGACGGGUAGCCGGCCUGAGAGGGUGUACGGCCACAUUGGGACUGAGAUACGGCCCAGACUCCUACGGGAGGCAGCAGUGGGGAAUAUUGCACAAUGGGCGCAAGCCUGAUGCAGCGACGCCGCGUGGGGGAUGACGGCCUUCGGGUUGUAAACUCCUUUCGCUAGGGACGAAGCGCAAGUGACGGUACCUGGAGAAGAAGCACCGGCUAACUACGUG
rnacentral:rRNA from 1 species